rnacentral:rRNA from 1 species
GAUGAACGCUAGCGGCAGGCCUAACACAUGCAAGUCGAGGGGCAGCAUAAGAUAAACUUGUUUAUUUGGUGGCGACCGGCGCACGGGUGCGUAACGCAUAUGCAACCUACCUUACACAGGGGGAUAGCCCGGAGAAAUUCGGAUUAAUACCCCAUAGCAUCUAAGUAUAGCAUUAUAUUAAGAUUAAGGCUUUGGCGGUGUAAGAUGGGCAUGCGUCCUAUUAGCUAGUUGGUGAGGUAACGGCUCACCAAGGCUACGAUAGGUAGGGGGCCUGAGAGGGUGGUCCCCCACACUGGUACUGAGACACGGACCAGACUCCUACGGGAGGCAGCAGUGAGGAAUAUUGGUCAAUGGGCGCAAGCCUGAACCAGCCAUGCCGCGUGAAGGAUGAAGGUUCUAUGGAUUGUAAACUUCUUUUAUUCGGGAAUAAACCCUCUUACGUGUAGGAGGCUGAAGGUACCGAAUGAAUAAGCACCGGCUAACUCCGUGCCAGCCGCCGCGGUAAGAC